rnacentral:lncRNA from 1 species
GUGGCCGAGAUCCGCCUACCCAAGAACCGUACCCGCCUCUGGCUUGGAACUUUCGACACAGCUGAAGAAGCAGCCUUGGCUUACGACAAAGCAGCUUACAAGCUCCGUGGUGACUUUGCCCGCCUCAAUUUUCCACAUUUGAAGCACACUGGGUCCGUCGUUGGUGGAGAGUUCGGCGAGUACAAGCCUCUGCAUUCCUCUGUUGACGCGAAGCUUCAGGCCAUUUGCGAAGGCUUGGCUGAGUCGCAGAAACAGGGGAAGGCAGGGAAGCAGGCGGGUGGGGCCAAGAAAUCUUCGGCCGCCCGCACGAAGCCGAAAUCAACACCAGUGCCGGAACCGGAACCAGAACCGGAGGCUUUGACCGUGAAGGAGGAGACCUCCUCCUUGUCGCCGGUGAGGACGGAUAGUGAUGGGUCUGCAGGGUCUUCUCCUCUAUCGGAUCUGACCUUUGCCGACUACUCAGAGUC